rnacentral:rRNA from 1 species
CAUAAUCAUUUGUUUUUUAAUUGAAAACUUGUAUGAAUGGUUGAAUGAAAAAUUAACUUUUUUAUUUAAAAUAUUGAAAUUUACUUUUUAAUAAAAAGGUUAAAAUUUUUUUAAAAGACGAGAAGACCCUAUAGAGUUUUAUAAUUUAUUGUUUUUAUUUUAAUUAGUUUAAUUAAAAAUUUAAUUAUUAAAUUAUUUUAUUGGGGUGAUAAUAUAAUUUAAAAAACUUAUAUUUAAUAUAACCAUUAAUAUAUGAUUAAUUGAUCCAAUUUUAUUGAUUAAAAAAUUAAAUUACCUUAGGGAUAACAGCGUAAUUUUUUUUUAAGUUCAUAUUAAUAAAAAAUUUUGCGACC